rnacentral:rRNA from 1 species
UAGUACCUACGGGACGCAGCAGUGGGGAAUAUUGCACAAUGGGGGAAACCCUGAUGCAGCGACGCCGCGUGAGUGAAGAAGUAUUUCGGUAUGUAAAGCUCUAUCAGCAGGGAAGAGAAUGACGGUACCUGAGUAAGAAGCCCCGGCUAACUACGUGCCAGCAGCCGCGGUAAUACGUAGGGGGCAAGCGUUAUCCGGAUUUACUGGGUGUAAAGGGAGCGUAGACGGCGAAGAAAGUCUGAAGUGAAAGCCCGCGGCUCAACCGCGGAACUGCUUUGGAAACUUUUUUGAU